rnacentral:rRNA from 1 species
GCAAGUCGAACGAAGAACUAUCUUGAAUUUAUUCCUGGUAGUUACUUAGUGGCGGACGGGUGAGUAACGCGUGGAUAAUCUACCCUGUGCAGGGGGAUAACAAUGGGAAACUAUUGCUAAUACCGCAUAAUACCACAGCAUCACAAGAUGCAGAGGUAAAAACUGAGGUAGCACAGGAUGAGUCCGCGUCUGAUUAGCUAGUUGGAGGGGUAAUGGCCCACCAAGGCGACGAUCAGUAGCCGGCCUGAGAGGGUGAGC